rnacentral:tRNA from 1 species
AAGGAUUUAAGUUAAUUAAACUCUUAACCUUCAAAGUUAAAAAUAGAUUUUAUCUAAGCCUUA